rnacentral:rRNA from 1 species
UACGAAGGGGGCGAGCGUUGUUCGGAUUUACUGGGCGUAAAGGGCGCGCAGGCGGUCUUGAAAGUCAGGCGUGAAAGCCCCGGGCUUAACCUGGGAAUUGCGCUUGAUACUCUGAGACUGGAGUGCGGGAGAGGAGAGUGGAAUUCCCAGUGUAGAGGUGAAAUUCGUAGAUAUUGGGAAGAACACCAGUGGCGAAGGCGGCUCUCUGGACCGUAACUGACGCUGAGGCGCGAAAGCGUGGGGAGCAAACAGG